GAGGUUUCUCAGUGUUACACAGCUUGAGCACUGCAACCCUCGUUCUCUCCCACUCCCUCGUUUUCUCUCGCUCCCUCACCGCCUCUCUCUCAAGCACUCUAACCCUCGUUCUCUGCCGCUCCUUUCAAGCCUCUCACUCUCUCGCUCACUAAGCUCACUCUUGCACUCACUUUAUGUCCAUCUCGUUCACUCUCACACAGUUCACCAUUUUCUUCUUCUUCACACUCCGCUAACUCCCUGGUCACCAUUGUCUCGCACUGACUUGCAAAGAAGAAGAAGUUCGUUUUUCUCGCUCUGACUAAGUCUUUCGUUCUUCUGAUUUAGUGUUUAUUGUUCAUUCAUCUACAAGUAAUUGUCUUUGUUCAUUCGUAAAUCCCUAAAUUCGUAGAACUAGAAAACCCUAAUCCCUUUUUUCUUUCUUUCGAUUGGCACAAAUGCUUUGUGGUGUGGUUCAAGUGUUGUGUGUGGAAGACAUUGCAUUGUUAGGAGAUUCUGAUUGAGGAGGGUCUUGUGUUUUGGGAAAUUCUUGAUUCGUAAAACCAGAAACCCAAAAUCCCUAAAUUUGUAAAACCAGGAUACCCUACAUCCCUUUUUUUUCUUGAUUCUCUCUUCGAUUUUGAAUAUGAAGAAGCAGUCAGUUUUCUGAACAAGAUAAAGGAGAAUCAGUUUUUCUGGUGGUUUUGCUGAUAUAGUUUACACUCUUUCUUUUAAAAAAAAAAAAUAGGUUGCUACCCUCUUCAAGGACCAUCGAGAUUUGCUUAAGGAGUUCACUAGAUUCUUACCGUAUACCUCUGCUACACCUUCGACACAGUAUGCUCCAUAUAGUCAAAAUUUGUUGCAUCACUUUAAUGAACAGAGUUCCACAACUCUAAUGAUGCGCCAAAUUCCACCAAACAGGGCAGUAAAAUUUGUUUUUAUACCACUUAUAUAUGGAUCUUGUAAACUGCCUUUUUUAAUGUUUGGGUUUUGAACAUUUUUCUACAACAACUUUAUUUAUAGAGAAGGCUGAAGGUUUUGGAAUGGCUUCCCACUUUCCUUCUUAUGAAGACAAAGAUACCUUAAAGAGCUGACUUAAGUGUGAGGCAAAAGAUAUCGACUGCCACGUUGGAAAUUUUGUUGCCAGUGAAAGGCCAUUGAUCACUUUUAGGAAAAUGAAAAUGAUUUACUUGUUGCCAAUGUUGCUGUCCGGAGUCUUGAUGUUCUUGGUGUUAGAAGUGUUGUCCACUAUCAGUUUCCACAUUCGGCAGAGGUUUAUGUUCAUAUAAGUGGAAGAACAACCAGAGCUUCCGCUAAAGGUUGUAGUAUUGCUUUAAUAUCACCAAGAGAUACGUUCAAGUUUGCUUCAUCGUGCAAAUCAUUUUCUAAGGAUAACUUUCAACGAUUUUCUUUAAAGAACUCUUACAUGCCAGAGGUCCUAAAAAAUUGUCUCUUGCACGAUAAAUAGACAAGAAGGAAGGAUUCUCAGUUGCCAAAGGAACUGAAGAACGUUUCAUAGGUUCAACAAUAACUCUGUGAAUUAUGUGGUGGUGAUCAUAUCAAUGGUCAAUAUGCUUAUCCAGUGGAGGCCCAAGAAGAAGUCAAUCACAUGGACAAUCAAUUCCAAUUUCGCCAAGGUAAUUCCAACCAAGGGUGGAAACCUCACCUAAGCAUGGGUCAAGGUCAGAAUGGACAAGCAGGGCAAUUCAAUAGACCACAACAACAACCAUCACUAUGGCAACAGGUAUCUGCUUUGAAUGAGAGAACCAACAAGUUGGAAGAGAUGUUCCAACAAUUUAUGUAGGUGACUACCUCCACUAAUAAGAGCACUAAAGCUGCCAUUAGAAAUUUGGAGAUGCAGGUUGGCCAGCUGGCCAAGAUGAUGGAGGACAAAGCAAAAAAGCAAUUUGGGGCUAACAUUAAGGUUAACCCCAAGGAAGAAUGUAAAGUCGUAGUGAGUAUAUUUGAUGAGGGAGUAGAACAGAAAAAGAUAGAGUUGAGUUAGAGAUGAGAGAGGAAAAAGAAGAGAGAAUAUGUGAAGGUGAGAUGAAAAAAGAAGAGAAGAAGAGGGGAGAGAAAAAAAUAUUUCUUGUGUCAGUUUUAAUUUUAUAGAUACCAUUACUAUAAAAAUAGAAGACAAUUGAACCAUUAUAAUAAGUUAUUUCUUGUGUCAGUUUUAAUUUAAACUCAUAUAAUAAAUCCACCAAAACCUCAUAACUCUACCCUUUAUUUUUUUCUUUUUUUU